rnacentral:rRNA from 1 species
AACGAACGCUGGCGGCAUGCCUAACACAUGCAAGUCGAACGAGACCUUCGGGACUAGUGGCGCACGGGUGCGUAACGCGUGGGAACCUGCCCUUAGGUUCGGAAUAACUCCCCGAAAGGGGUGCUAAUACCGGAUAAUGUCUUCGGACCAAAGAUUUAUCGCCUUUGGAUGGGCCCGCGUUGGAUUAGCUAGUUGGUAGGGUAAAAGCCUACCAAGGCGACGAUCCAUAGCUGGUCUGAGAGGAUGAUCAGCCACACUGGGACUGAGACACGGCCCAGACUCCUACGGGAGGCAGCAGUGGGGAAUAUUGGACAAUGGGCGAAAGCCUGAUCCAGCAAUGCCGCGUAAGUGAUGAAGGCCUUAGGGUUGUAAAGCUCUUUUACCCGGGAUGAUAAUGACAGUACCGGGAGAAUAAGCUCCGGCUAACUCCGUG